UCAGGAAGAGUGGAAUGCAGGGCAGAAUGAGGCCCUUGAAGAAUAAAGGGAAAGGAAAGGAGAAAUCUCCUUAUCUCUAAUUCCCAUGGGAUUGUUGCUGCACGGAAAUUGCAUAUGGCACUAGAUAGUGGGCAAAACUAGAUCACUUGAAGAGACCUGAUGGUGGUGGGAAAGAGAACAUUUUGUGCGAAUGUGAAGGAAGAUGAUAAGAAAUCAGAUGAGGAAUACAGGAGUGAGCCCACCCAGCUAUGAGUCUGCAGACAGGAAAUCACUUCUGAACGUAUGAAGAGGGCAAUUCUCUCACUACAGAAUAAGCAAGCCAGGUACACUUCCAACCAGCUCUCAGAAGAACACACAAUUUGAUGAGUCUCUACAAGCAAUUUAGACGAAGACCCUCAUAGGCCAAUUAGAACACUUGUUUUCAGAAAGCAUUUUCGGAAAGCAUAUUUCUCUUUUCAAAAGCAUUAUUUCAAAGGUUUAAGAUAAGGACAGCGUAGAGACACCCUGCAUGCAUUACUCCUUUUUCUACCAUUCCCUACCCUGAAAGCUUGUAAAACGUUUAUAAAGUUCAAACUAGGGGCACUAAAUGCCCAGAGAAUCACUGAAUGAAUCUCUCACUCAGGCCUCUCACCCUUGGGCCACAAAACAUGUGAUGCUAACAGCAUCAUUAUGCUUCUAUAUUCCCUUUUUAAAAAUAUCUAUAGCAGGCCCAGGUGGGGUGAUCAAGCUCAUGAUCAGAGUGGGGACAGAUGGAUUUAAACCUUUCCUUUUGUGCUAUGGUCCCAACAAACAGUGCCCCAUUUUGAAGCUACUACUUGCCCUGGGAAGAAAGAUGCUACUGGUGCCAACAAACCAUAGCUGGUGCAUAGAACAGAGAAACAUACAUUCCUUUAAAGCAAGAGAUGAAAUGAUAUGGAUUAAAGCAAGAUCAUCCCAAUGUCCUUGAUGAUGCGAGCAAAAAACACCUCGAUGCUUCUAUGUAGCUAAAUCUCAUUACCUUUCCAAUAUGGUCUAUUUUUAAAAAUAGAAAUUGCAAUUGUUUUGAAUAUUGCUACCAGGUAUCUAUUAUGGAAAGAGAAGCAGCUUUAAAAAUUCAUCAUAUGAAUUUAUUUAGUUUCAAUGGAUGGUUGGUCUGCCUUGGUUACUGGUUGAGCCCUGUGUCUGAUGCAUUGAUCAGGCCAUGAUGAAAGAUCCAUGAUUUUUGCGUCUCUCCUUUAUUCUUGUGAACUUUUAAUUGGGCUCUUAAAAAAAUAAAAGUGCUUUGUAUUAAAUUACGUUUUUGUAGUUGACCAGUCCAAAAUAAUGCAGUCUGCAUGGGGAGGGGGAGUUCUAUUAUUGGCGUUAUUGUUUUGUUUUAAGAUUUUUGUGUAUGUUUUAACUUUUUUAUGUUGCUAACUGCUCAGAGACAAAAGUUUGGGGCGGUGUACAAAUUCGACAAAUAAAUAAAUAAAUAAAUAAAUAAAUAAUAUUGAUGGAAAGUA